CUAAAUAUAGCCGUUUGCAUGCACUGUUUCCCAAUUGUUUUAUAGGAGGUGAUCGGUAAUCAUAAUUAUUACCUGCUUCUGCUACUUUUCCUUAUAUUUUGUUCCAGCAUCAUCUCUGUGGGCAAAUUCAAAGCAGAUAUGUAUGGGAAACAGGAAUGAUUUCAUUCAUCAAUGAAGGAUCUAAUAUCUCCAGAUUUUGAAGCACAAGUAUCACAUUCACCACUACUGGCUAGGACAAGGCAUCUCAGAAUUCUUUGUUAUAAGAUCUCAUGAAACCUGAGUUACAUUCUUUAUAUUUUGCAGCAUCAUUAUUGUGCUCAUGCCAAUGGAAGUGCUGAUAAGUUGAUUUUAGGACACUUGUUUUCUCAUUAAACCAUGGCUGCAGUGAACUUGUGAAAGUUAUAUUAAUUUGUAUCUGCUAUAUACAUUGGCUUUUCGAUAUCCUUGUGCUUCCAUUCCAUUUAACUUUAAAUUUAACUUUGUGUGUUUCAAUUCUUUUUUUUUAUAUUUAUUUUAAGAUAAUUGUUUUGUGGAGACUUGAAUGGAAUAGCAGGGAUGGAAGAUCCAAAUGGUAUAUGGACAACUAUAUCUCAAUUUAUUGAGCAUUUCCAGGUGAACGUAUCCAGAUCACAUGAAAAGGCGCUGGCAACAAAAGGCCUUUGGCUCUUGCUAAGUCUAAAAAGGGUGUAAGAAAUGCAAUAGUUUGUCAUCCAUGAUCAAAUAGCUUUUCUCGUUACACUUCUGAAGUCCAAAACUACAGUUGUAAAGGUCAAUAUAUGUUUAACAUUUAGGGAUUCUCUGUGGUGAGGAGUUAAGACAAAAAGUGUUGCUCGGAUGAUGCAUAUAUCCUCUGCUUCAAAUGCUAAGGUCUUAGUCUGUAGAAGAUCAGAUGAACCAGCAACUAUGUAGGAUCACAUGGUGGUUUGGUAAUAAAUCAGGUUGGGAUGAAGAUAUAUAUGAUUGAGGGUGUUAUUUUUAGUUUGUAGGAGCAACUGUAGCUCAUAUUCAAGCUUAAAAAAGUAAUCAAUGAUUAUAUUAGUGGAGCAUUACAAAAUUUAUGCAAUAAUUCACACACUGGUCACAAUGAUGUAGUUCCAUAGACAAUGAUAUGUUUUGGAACAUAUUUUUUAUAAUACAUCUAUCGGGUAAUUUUUUUUAUAGGAAAUACUGCUAUCAUUGGAUAUCGUUUCAUCAGUUUGAGAUAAAUGAUACCCAUAGACAUCAGAUUUAACUUUGUAGGUUUCAAUUUUCUUUAUUCUGUAUAUUAAUUUUAAGAUAGUUGUUUUCCAAAGACUCGAAUGGAAUAGCAGGGAUGAAAGAUCUAGAUUCUAGACAGCAUAUGGGCAACUAUAGUUUAAUUUAUUGAGCAUUUCCAAAUCCCAGGUAAACACAUCCACAUCAAGCGAAAAAGAGCUGAUAACAAGAGGAAUGCUGGAUCUUGCUAAGUUUAGAAAGGAUGUAAAAAAUGCAAUUGGUUCUCAUUCAGAAGCAAUGCCUUUGCUUGUUACACUAAUCAAUUUUGGAACUAGAGUUGUGAAGGUCAAUGCAAUUUAAUUUUUUAACCUUGGGGAUUCUGUGUGAUGAAAAAGACUUAAAGAGUGAAAGCGUUGCUAGGAGGAUGCAUAUCUCCUCUCCUUGGACUGCUAAGCUUCUGCCUCUAUGCAGGAUCACAUGGUGGUUUUUGUUGCGUUGGGAUGAAGAUAUUUGAAUGAGGGUAUUAUUUAUAGUUUGUGUGAGCAACUACAUUUCAGAUACAAGCAUGAAGAAGUACUCAAUGACCAUCUUGUUGGAGUACUCUAAAAUUUGUGCGAUAAUUUAUACACUGGCCAUAACGAUACAGUUCUGAAGAUGAUGUGAUUUGGAUUAUAUUUUUUCUAAGCUAUCUAGAUGGCAUAUGGGUAACUAUAGUUUAAUUUAAUGAGCAUUUCCAAAUUCUAGGUAAGCCUCUGCCUCUAUGCAGGGUCACAUGGUGGUUUUUGUUGCAGAGGAGGUUGGGAUGAAGAUAUUUGAAUGAGGGUAUUAUUCAUAGUUUGUGUGAGCAACUACAUUUCAGAUACAAGCAUGAAGAAGUACUCAAUGACCAUCUUGUUGGAGUACUCUAAAAUUUGUGCGAUAAUUUAUACACUGGCCAUAACAAUACAGUUCUGAAGAUGAUGUGAUUUGGAUUAUAUUUUUUCUAAGCUAUCUAGAUGGCAUAUGGGUAACUAUAGUUUAAUUUAAUGAGCAUUUCCAAAUUCCAGGUAAACACAUCCACAUCAAUUGAAAAAGAGCUGAUAACAAGAGGAAUGUUGGAUCUUGCUAAGUUUCCUCUCCUUGGACUGCCAAGCUCUGGCUCUGCAGAGGCUCAAAAACUAGCAACAAAGGCAAUCUAUGCAGGAUCACAUGGUGGUUUUCGCUGCAGAGCAGGUUGGGAUGAAGAUAUUUGACUGAGGGUAUUAUUAUUCAUAGUUUGUGUGAGCAACUACAUUUCAGAUACAAGCAUGAAGUACUCAAUGAUAAUCUUAUUGGAGUACUCUAAAAUUUGUGCGAUAAUUUAUACACUGGCCAUAACAUUACAGUUCUGAAGAUGAUGUGAUUUGGAUUAUAUUUUUUCUAAGCUAUCUAGAUGGCAUAUUGGCAACUAUAGUUUAAUUUAUUGAGCAUUUCCAAAUUCCAGGUAAACAAAUACACAUCAAUUGAAAAAGAGUUGAACAAGAGGAAUAUUGGAUCUUGCUAAGUUUAGCAAGGAUGUAAAAAAUGCAAUAGGUUCUCAUUCAGAAGCAAAACCUUUGCUUGUUACACUUCUCAAUUUUGGAACUAGAGUUGCGAAGGUCAAUGCAAUUUUAACCUUGGGGAUUCUGUGUGAUGAGAAAGACUUAAAGACUGAAAGUGUUGCUAGGAGGAUGCAUAUCUCCUCUCCUUGGACUGCUAAGUUCUGACUCUGCAGAGGCUCCGAAACUAGCAGCAAAGGCAAUUUAUGCAGGAUCACAUGGUGGUUUUUGUUGCAGAGCAGGUUGGAUGAAAGAUAUUUGACUGAGGGUGUUAUUCAUAGUUUGUGUGAGCAGUUACAUUUCAGAUACAAGUAUGAAGUACUCAAUGACCAUCUUAUUGGAGUACUCUAAAAGUUGUGCAAUAAUUUAUACACUGGCCAUAACGAUACAGUUCUGAAGAUGAUGUGAUUUGGAUUAUAUUUAUUAUUCAUAGUUUUUGUGAGGCUCAGAAACCAGCAACAAAGGCAAUCUAUGUAGGAUCACAUGGUGGUUUUUGUUGCAGAGCAGGUUGGGAUGAAAGAUAUUUGACUGAGGGUAUUAUUCAUAGUUUGUGUGAGCAGCUACAUUUCAGAUACAAGUAUGAAGAAGUACUCAAUGACCAUCUUAUUGGAGUACUCUAAAAGUUGUGCGAUAAUUUAUACACUGGCCGUAACGAUAGAGUUCUGAAGAUGAUGUCAUUUGGAUUAUAUUUAUUAUUCAUAGUUUGUGUGAGCAGCUACAUUUCAGAUACAAGCAUGAAGAAGCACUCAAUGACCAUCUUAUUGGAGUACUCUAAAAUUUGUGUGAUAAUUUAUACACUGGCCAUAACGAUACAGUUCUGAAGAUGAUGUGAUUUGGAUUAUAUUUAUUAUUCAUAGUUUGUGUGAGCAGCUACAUUUCAGAUACUCAAUGAUAAUCUUAUGCAUGAAGAAGCACUCAAUGACCAUCUUAUUGGAGUACUCUAAAAUUUGUGCGAUAAUUUAUACACUGGCCAUAACGAUACAGUUCUGAAGAUGAUGUGAUUUGGAUUAUAUUUAUUAUUCAUAGUUUGUGUGAGCAGCUACAUUUCAGAUACUCAAUGAUAAUCUUAUUGGAGUACUCUAAAAUUUGUGUGAUAAUUUAUACACUGGCCAUAACGAUAUGGUUCUGAAGAUGACGUGAUUUGGAUUAUAUUUUUUCUAAGCUAUCUAGAUGGCAUAUGGGCCACUAUAGUUUAAUUUAUUGAGCAUUUCGAAAUUCCAGGUAAACACAUACACAUCAAUUGAAAAAGAGUGGAACAGGAAUGUUGGAUCUUGCUAAUUUAGAAAGGAUGUAAAAAAUGCAAUAGGUUCUCAUUCAGAAGCAAAACCUUUGCUUGUUACACUUUUCAAUUUUGGAACUAGAGUUUCGAAGGUCAAUGCAAUUUUAACCUUGGGGAUUCUGUGUGAUGAGAAAGACUUAAGAAUGAAAGGGUUGCUAGGAGGAUGCAUAUCUCCUCUCCUUGGACUGCUAAGCUCUGACUCUGCAGAGGUUCCGAAACCAGCAACAAAGGCAAUCUAUGCAGGAUCACAUGGUGGUUUUUGUUGCAGAGCAGGUUGGGAUGAAAGAUAUUUGACUGAGGGUGUUAUUCAUAGUUUGUCUGAGCAGCUAUAUUUUAGAUACAAGCAUGAAGAAGUUGAAUACAAUAGGUUCUCAUUCACAAGCAAUACCUUCUUUACACUUCUCAAUUUUGGAACUAGAGAUGCAAAGUUGAAUGCAGCUUUAACCUUAGGUCUUCCGUGGUGAGAAAGAUUUGAGUGAAAGUGUUGCUAGGAGGGAUGCAUACCUCCUCUCUUUGGACUGCUAAGCUCUGCUUCUGCAGAGGCUCCAAAACCAGCAACAGAGGCAAUCUAUGCAGGAUCACAUGGUGUUUUUUUGCAGAGCAGGUUGGGAUGAAGAUAUUUAUGACUGAGGGUAUCAUUUCUUUUUUGUGUGAGCAGCUACACCUCAGAUAUAGGCAUGAAGAAGUAGUCAAUGACCAUCUUAUUGGAGUAUUACAAAACUUGUGCAAUGAUUCAUACCAUAAUGAUACAUUUUUGGAGAUGAUGUGAUUUGGAUUAUAUUUUUCUAAGCUAUCUAUCAGGGGAAAAUUUUAUAGGAAAUAUUGCUAUUUCUAGAUACCAUUUGGUAAGUUUGGAAUAAAUCAUACCCAAUGACAUCAAGUUUAACUUCAGGUUUCAAUUUUUUUUUUCUGUAUAUUUAUUUUUAAGAUAAUUGUUUUGUAGAGAUUUCAAUGAAAUACCAGGGAUGGAAGAUGCAGAUUGUAUAUGGGCAACUACAACUCAAUUUAUUGAGCAUUUGCAGGUAAACAUAUCGACAUCAAUUGAAAAAGAGAUGGCAACAAAAGGACUGUUGGAUCUGUUAAGUCUAGUAAGGAUGUAAAAAGUGUGAUAGGUUCUCAUUCACAGUCAAUAGCUUUGCUCAUUACAAUUCUCAAGUCUAGAACUACAGUUGCAAAGGUCAUGCAGGUUUAACCUUAUGAAUUCUAUGUAAUGAGAAAGACUUAAGAGUGAAAGUGUUGCUAGGAGAGGACGCAUGUAUCCUUUGCUUGGACUGCUAAGGUGUGGGUCUGUAGAAGCUCAGAGACCAGCAGAAAAGGCAAUCUAUUCAAGAUCACAUGAUGAUUUAGUAGUAGAGCAGGUAUGGAUGAAGAAAUUUAUUACUGAGGGUGUCAUUCUUAGUUUGUGGGAGCAGCUGCAGCUCAGGUACACGCAUGAAAAAGGUGCUUUAGAGGAAGGUUUUGGCCACUACAACCAUCAAUGAAUAAUUUGUGAUACUAGUUGUACUGAGGUUAUUGAUUCUAGUGCUUUACAACACCACCCUCUGAAACUUGUAGGUCCUGAAAAUUAAUCUUUGCACAUGCAGAGGCAUCCACUGCAUGAUAGGUACUUUUAUCUAAACUAAAAAGUAAUCCACUGCAUGAUAGGUACUUUUAUCUAAACUAAUAAGUGGAAGGAGAGCUAUGGUAGAUGCAAGUCUCAUUCUAUUUUGAUCAGUCCAAUAUUUGGCCCUUCAAAACCGAGUUUAUGUAAGGGCAACUUGCUCAAACCCUGCCUGAUCAUAAUGAAAGAGCAGGAUGGUAUAAAAUUGGGGGAUGGGAAUCUAUAGUAGGUGCACUUGCGUGAUUAUUGACUCACAUGCCAUUUGAUAAUAUGCUUGUUGAGACUAUUCACCAUUGUGAUAUUUUUGUUUUAUAAUGAAUAUGUUAGCUUCUGCAGAUUUACUGGAUGUAAUGUCAUCAGAUGCUUUAGAAGCAGUUGCUAUAAUUGCUAGAGCAAAACAAGGUGUAACUUUCUGUUCUAGCUUUUUCUCCACGGCCAAUACUUGCUGAAUCAUAUUACAGCUUGGAGCCAUUAGUAAAAUGCUUGUCCACAUGGACUUCCCUCACAAUUGAAGUUUUUUCAAGGUUUGCUAGAGUCCAGACUGUAGUUCUUUGGGAUUUAGUGGCAAGAACAUUUAGAUAAUUUUGAAAUUGAAGUUUCAGGCACUGCUUUUCUUAUUUGUACUGCUAAAGCACACAAACAGAGAACAUUUACUACACCAAAGGGAUCUAGGUUUUUAAUUCAACUUAUUUGCUAUCUGUGCACAUACUCGAACAAGCAACAAAAAUAAAUGAUCUAAGUAUUCAUAAGGUCAAAAAUGUGUAUGAAAGACAAGUUUGGACAUCUUGAAGGAGAUGCAUGAUUGAGCAUCCAUUAUCUUAGGAGCAGUUACCCGAUGGUGGCUAUCAAUAAUUUCUUCUUAUUAUGGUGAAACCAAAGCUGCUUUUAUGGAAUCAGGUGAAAUGGGAGUCUUAACUGAACAGCUGACAAACAUUUCUUCAAAUGCAUUACAAAGUAUGAUUUUUGCUUCUACAAAACUUCUUUUCUUUCAUUAGUGAUUUACUGCAGUCUGUUAUCUCUUGUUUCUUUGUGCUUGUUUUGCGUUCCUGUCAUGUAUGCUUUGUGUGUGCUUUUGACACUAUUUUUGAUUGAGGUUGCCCUUAUUGUAUUGUUGUUGAAGUGUUCUUUCUUUUCUCUUCUGUGUUAAGUUUACACCCACUUUGCAUUCCUGAUUUUUCGAUUUUUUAUUUCUUAUUCUAUACAUCUGUUUUCAGUUUUAAUUCUUAUCAUAAGUGUUUUUGUUGUUUAAUGAAUUUUAUUUACAUUCUAUUAAGCUGUAGAUUUUCUAUGUUCUAGAAGAUUUGUCAAUGGAAAAUAUUGUUCUGACUUAUGAUAUUGUGUUAAGAUAAUAUUUUUGUUAGUUUCUGAUGGAGGUGGAGGAUGGUGGAGUCACAUGGGUUAGCACAAUUGUGUUAGCUAUUCUGUUCCAAGAUAGAGAUGCUAUUAGAGCUGGCGCUGUCAUGUGUGUACUAACAUCUCUUUCCAAUUUACUGAUGCUUGAGAACAAAGUGAUUGAUAGGUAUUUUGCUGUUCAUUGGCUAGCCUUGUGUGAAAUGCCAAUGCAAGAACACUUCCUGCAGUUGUAAAUUCAGGAGCAGCUGGAGGUCUGAUAUCACUGCUUGGCUGUGUGGAAUUGAAUGUAUCAACACUUGGGUGCAUUAUCUGAAGAAUUUUCUUUUGUGUGCAAUCUUGUAUAAAUCUAUAACUUAUUUAUUUGAGCUUGAGCAGGUUAAGACUAUGCCAGAUCAAUCAGGUGCAAUUCCACUUGGUCUAGUUCUCUUGACUCAGAUUGCAAAAUCCAAUAGUGCUAACAAAUUGGCCAUGGUCAAAGUGGGAGGUUUAGAUGAUUUAGCCAAAUAUCCAUCCUUAGGUCCUCAUGAUUGUAGUAGAAGAGGCUGCAAUAGGUGUAUUUAAGAGUCCUAAAUAGCAGUUUUGAUCUCUGGCACUAUGAUUCUGCAAGAGGUACUCUCAUUCAGAUUAAAGCAGUUAUUUAAUAAAUGCUCUUGUCAAGUUGGGAAGGUGCCAUCCCCUGUGCAAGAUUGACAUGGUCAAAGCAUGGGUGAUUGAUAAUUUUCCCAAAUUUUUCCUUGAUGCACCAAAUUCUCUAUGUUAUUUAAUUGCAGAACUAAGCAUACGGGGCCAAAAUAGACUAUUGCAAGGAAAUACCCUAGAAAAGCUCUAAUCUCUUGCUAACCUUCAACUUUCAUCUAGUCAAGCCAUUUAGUUGUUACUUGUAUUUCUUGAAUAGGUACUCUCAUUCAGAUUAAAGCAGUUAUUUAGCCAAAUAUCCAUCCUUGGGUCCUCAGGAUUGUAGUAGAACAGGCUGCAAUAGGUGUAUUUAAGAGUCCUAUAUAGCAGUUCUGAUCUCUGGCACGCAUUCAGAUUAAAGCAGUUAUUUAAUAAGUGCUCUUGUCAUGUUGGGAAGGUGCAAGAUUGACAAGGUCAAAGCUUGGGUGAUUGAUAAUUUUCCCAAAUUUUUCCUUGAUGCACCAAAUUCUCUAUGUUAUUUAAUUGCAGAACUAAGCAUACGGGCCCAAAAUAGACUAUUGCAAGGAAAUACCCUAGAAAAGCUCUAAUCUCUUGCUAACCUUCAACUUUCAUCUAGUCAAGCCAUUUAGUUGUUACUUGUAUUUCUUGAAUUGCCUUCCUGUUCUGUCUGUUACCUUGGAGUUGAACUACUUUCACAUCCUAUUUUAAGUGAGGUGUCCAACACUGCAAGCUGUAGUGCCACUUGUACAGCUGCAAGACUUGGAACUCAAAACUUACAUCAGAAAUCAAUAAAGGCACUUGAAAGUGCUUCUGUGAUGUGCAACAAAUGCCACUCUAAAUGCUGGUGGGGUAAUUGAAUUCUCAAAGGUUCUUUUACAAGUUGAUCCACAACCAUCACCUGCAUUGUGAGAAUCAGCUGCCUUUUUUUCUUUACUUCCCAGUACUGUUUAAAAGUGCCUCUUGCAAUUCUUCUGACGUAGCUGAUCAAGUAGUGAGCAGAGUGUUGUAGUAUCUCUUUGUGCACUAAUUAUUAUAGAGAUAGAUGAUGCUUCAAUUGCUUAGCUGAUGGCGGUGCAGUGGAAUCCCUUUUGUAGCUUUGAAGCUCCCACCAGUGUGAAGAAUCAGCAGCCAGGCUACUUGAAGCAUUGUUUAACAAUAUUAAAGUGCAAGAUUUGACAGUAUCAAAAUAAGCUAUUGCUCCUCUGUUAGAGUAUCUUCACUAUUCACCUGCAAGAUCUGAAUGCAAUGUAUUAAGAUGGAUUCCUGCUCCAAAUAUAACUGGUUCACACUCAUUGCUCUUAUAUGGGUAUACAUAAUUGGAUGCAAUGCCUUCCAUAAUGCUCAGAUGGAGGAUCUCUUUAGUUGGUACAAGCAAGCCUAUAUAUAGACUCUAGACACGUUUCAGGCUUUCAGACCCAUUUCAAAAGGAUCUUUGUAAGUUAUGUUUCAUCCUCCUUUACCACUUACUGAAAAUGCUAUUUGUUUCAUCCUCUUGGGAUAACUUAUUUCAUUUCUUUAUGCAAUGAUAUUCUGCAGUAAUCCAAUGUAAUAUACCUUUAAGAGAGCUGGCUGAUUGUCACUGACACAAUCGCAGGUGACCCACCAUGUAUAUGAUUCACAAGGCUUUGACAUGUAAUGUAUGUCCACUGAAUGUUAGAAUGUUAGAUGAUGCCAUUUCUAGGUAUUUUACCUGAUUCUAGAUUCUUUAUGCCAAGAGGCGUCUAUAGUUUCAGCAAACAGUCCGUGUACAUUUUAUUUUCCUAAUUUAAUUUGACAGUUGUUCACCUGUUGAAAUAGCUGUGUAAACAAAACGUAAUGGUUCAAGAUUGGUUGAAUAUUCACCUGCAAGAUCCGAAUGCAACAUAUCAAGAUAGAUUCCUGCCUCAAAUAUAAAUGGUUCACGCUCAUUGCUCUUAAAUGGAUUUAUAUAAUGGGAUGCAGCACCUUCCAUAAUGCUCAGACUGAGGAUCUCUUUAGCCCGUACAAGCAAGGCUAUAUACAUAGGCAUGUUUCAGGUUUUCAGACCCAUUUCAAAAGGAUCUGUUAAUCCAUAUCAUAUACCUCCAAGAAAGCUGGCUGAUUGUCACUAACACGAUCGCAGAAAUAAGCCACACCCGGACCAACGAUGGACUGGUCCAAGAGGCCGGUAGAUCAGUGGUAGAGCACUCCAGCAGCGUAUGGAAGGUCCUAGGUUCGAGUCCUAGCUGGUCCAUGUCUCAACAUGGUAUCAGAGCCAUGUCCAGGCUAGGAGCCCCAAGCACACGAGAGGUGUGGCUUAAAGGGUGGUGUUGGUGUUGGAAAUAAGCCAUACCUGGACCGACGAUGGACUGGUCCAAGAGGGGCCAGUAGCUCAGUGGUAGAGCACUCCAGCUACGAUGGACUGGUCCAAGAGGGGCCAGUAACUCAGUGGUAGAGCACUCCAGCUACGAUGGACUGGUCCAAGAGGGGCCAGUAGCUCAAUGGUAGAGCACUCCAGCAGCGUAUGGAAGGUCCUAGGUUUGAGUCCUAGCUGGUCCAUGUUUCAACAUUUCUCUCUUGGAUCCAAGCUUAGUUUGAAAAUGUUAAAUGAGCAGAAAAUAUCCAAGUUGGAGGUUGAGAGCUUUAAAUAUCUAGAAGAGAAUGUGCCUAAACUGGAGUGUGAAGAGAUGGAAGAGGCUCUUGUACCACAUCUUAAUGGAUCAGCAAUACAACCUGGUUGGAACUCAAAGCAUUUCUUCAGAAUGGAAACACACUUUUGCCUUGGCUUUUGAUAUGCCUCCCAAGGGUCAGACAUUGCAAAUAUCUUGUAUUACCAAGAAAACUUUUGGUAAAUUGUUUAACAGGUGAUGGCAUGCAUGAAUAUUGGCUAAUUUGGUUUGUGAAAAUGCAAAGUUGCAAUUGACAACAAUUCUACAUAAUGGAAGCAAAAUAUUGUGUUGGACUUUGAUAUGCCUCCCAAGGCUCAGAAAUUGCAAAUAAGCUCCAUGACCAAGAAUUCCUUUGGAAAAGUAAGCUGCCUAUUAUAUUAUAACAAGAAUUUUGUCUGCUUGGCUUCAUUGAAGACAAUCUAGGAAUAUUUGAUCUACCUAGCUUCUAAUUGCAAUAUUUUAUAUUGUCAUGGUUCUGCAGUAUAACUAUGUUUUAUUGAAACUUUCUUGGUAAACAUUUUAGCAAGCUGUCAUCUUUGUUCCGAAAAUGCAGCUGUCUAUAUGAAGCACCAAUGCAUUAUGCAAAUUGGCACUUGGUAAUGGUCCUCAAUAACAAAGCAAAAUGAGUGUUAAAGGACUUUUAUAUUUUUUUGACAUCGUCAAGUAAAUUCAGCCUCUUUCAUCCAACUAUUAAGAUGGGAAUGCAGAGAUGAUUAGUGCUAUUAGUCAUUUUUUUUAUUUUGAUGAAUGAGAAUACCAUAUCCUUUAUGGAAUAUAAUACCAGAGGGCCAAUUUUGUGAGUCCAUGAUAUUGAUCUUGGUUUCUUUGGCUAGUGAAAAUGUACAGGUUGUAACUCAACAUUUCUCUAGAACGAAUAUGAGGUUUUGUGUUGGUCUUUCAUCUGCCUCUCAAGGGUUGGAAAUUGCAAGUUUCUUGUAAAGACUAAGAACAUCUUUGGGGA